AAAAAAGCACUUUAACGUGCCGACAGUUGUUGUCAAUUGUCAAAUCAAUGACAAGUAACGAUAAAAAGGUCAUCUCAGAUCUGACACUGAUUCUUUGGCUUCACGCUCCCGAGGCUAUGAAGGAAGUUCCGAACACGGAGAAGAACCCCGCAGGAAGAGCAGCCCUUCGCCCGAAAAAAUGAGGCAUAAGUGGUGCCUUUCCCCGUUCCUGCCAGCAGCCGCCUGGUCUUGCUGACAGGCGAGGUGCAAGUCAUUUCAAACAUCCCUGAUGAUCGAUCUGAGAGCCAGAUGUAAUCAUCAAAAGAGCCACAUAUGGCUCGCGAGCCAUAGGUUCCCGGCCCCUGCUUUAGGGGCUCCGUACCUCUGAGCAGAGACACGGGGUAAUAAAUUUAGUAUUAAGUAUUUAAAAUCCUAAAAUUACUAAGUUUGUUUAAAGUUUUUUUUUUUUUUUACAAAAACAACAUAAAUUAUAAAAUAAACUUACUUUAUGUCUUUCUUGGCAAUCUGCGCAGUUAGGUGACUGCUACUCAGAGGAAACACCGGCGCAUGCACCUUACAUUGCCUUGUGGAGAGGGCGUGCCGUGGACUGUCCUGCCCCCCUUUCAUCCAACAGAGCACAAAAAAACCUUAGUCGAAAAACCAUAGACUGUAUAUAAGAAUUUACAGUCUAUGCGAAAAACCCAGACUCCAAACAAUCCAGUUGGUCGCACCUUCACGUUGGUACCACCCGCCAUUUAAACCUCAAGAAGAAUCCAGUCGGUCGUCGAACAGAAGACGUUCCAAGUUUUCAGCCGUAGUUCCACUUGAACGGCCCACACGGCAGCGGCUCAGUCGAGGCGCACCAACACCAAAGAACGAACCUCUUUUUACCAAACGCCAUCUUCCUUUUUUUUCACUAAAUAACCUUCCUUUAAAAACAUUAACCGUAUCUAUGUAAGUUCCACCGAAUUACUCGCUCCAGAAUCGAUUAUUUUACAGAAUUCAGUCCUUGCAAACCGGAUAGAACCAGUUCCUUUCCGCAGCAGAGUCUCCAACUUUGCGGAAGUAGAAGAGUU